UAUAUAUAUAUGUAUAUAUAUAUAUAUAUAUAUAUAUAUAUAUACACUUUCAGGACACCCUGUGGCUCAGGGGU